rnacentral:rRNA from 1 species
UAGGGAAUCUUCCGCAAUGGGCGAAAGCUUGACGGAGCAACGCCGCGUGAGUGAUGAAGGUCUUCGGAUCGUAAAACUCUGUUAUUAGGGAAGAACAAAUGUGUAAGUAACUAUGCACGUCUUGACGGUACCUAAUCAGAAAGCCACGGCUAACUACGUGCCAGCAGCCGCGGUAAUACGUAGGUGGCAAGCGUUAUCCGGAAUUAUUGGGCGUAAAGCGCGCGUAGGCGGUUUUUUAAGUCUGAUGUGAAAGCCCACGGCUCAACCGUGGAGGGUCAUUGGAAACUGGAAAACUUGAGUGCAGAAGAGGAAAGUGGAAUUCCAUGUGUAGCGGUGAAAUGCGCAGAGAUAUGGAGGAACACCAGGGGCGAAGGCGACUUUCUGGUCUGUAACUGACGCUGAUGUGCGAAAGCGUGGGGAUCAAACAGG